rnacentral:rRNA from 1 species
UACGUAGGGGGCAAGCGUUGUCCGGAAUCAUUGGGCGUAAAGCGCGCGUAGGCGGCCCGGUAAGUCCGUUGUGAAAGUCAAAGGCUCAACCUUUGAACGCCGAUGGAUACUGCCGGGCUAGAGUCCGGAAGAGGCGAGUGGAAUUCCUGGUGUAGCGGUGGAAUGCGCAGAUAUCAGGAGGAACACCGGUGGCGAAGGCGGUUCUCUGGGCCUUACCUGACACUGAGGAGCGAAAGCGUGGGGAGCGAACAGG